AGGAAAAUCCCAGACGUAUAUGUGAUGGCAAACAAGUACUAGGGAGAGGCAUCAAUCAAGACAACAGAGAACAAACAGUUCAGUGAGAAGUGCAAGGCUAAGUGCUAAGAAAAGAUGGAAACACAGUAUAAUCCAGCAUUUGUGUCCACUUUUGCUGAAGAACAAUAAACAUAUUCCCAAAGAAGUAGAUGAGAAACUGAAAAGAGGAGGAAAUGGCUUCAGAAAGAUUAACAAACUCUUCCAAAUCACAGCCAGGAUGUGGUGGGACAAGGAUUCAG